GAAAUUCGAUUAACGCUCGGUUACGACCGAGCCAACUGGAAG
rnacentral:ncRNA from 2 species